rnacentral:rRNA from 1 species
UACGUAGGUGGCAAGCGUUGUCCGGAUUUACUGGGUGUAAAGGGCGUGUAGCCGGGCUGACAAGUCAGAUGUGAAAUUCCGGGGCUCAACCCCGGACCUGCAUUUGAAACUGUUGGUCUUGAGUAUCGGAGAGGCAGGCGGAAUUCCUAGUGUAGCGGUGAAAUACGUAGAUAUUAGGAGGAACACCAGUGGCGAAGGCGGCCUGCUGGACGACAACUGACGGUGAGGCGCGAAAGCGUGGGGAGCAAAUAGG